UUAACUCAAAUUUGUACGGAAUUGGAACGUUUGCAUGCGUUUGUCGCUAAGGGCGCUGUUCCAACUGGAUACACUACUUAUGAUA
rnacentral:pre_miRNA from 1 species